rnacentral:rRNA from 1 species
AUUGAACGCUGGCGGCAGGCCUAACACAUGCAAGUCGAGCGGAUGAGUGGAGCUUGCUCCAUGAUUCAGCGGCGGACGGGUGAGUAAUGCCUAGGAAUCUGCCUGGUAGUGGGGGACAACGUUUCGAAAGGAACGCUAAUACCGCAUACGUCCUACGGGAGAAAGUGGGGGAUCUUCGGACCUCACGCUAUCAGAUGAGCCUAGGUCGGAUUAGCUAGUUGGUGAGGUAAAGGCUCACCAAGGCGACGAUCCGUAACUGGUCUGAGAGGAUGAUCAGUCACACUGGAACUGAGACACGGUCCAGACUCCUACGGGAGGCAGCAGUGGGGAAUAUUGGACAAUGGGCGAAAGCCUGAUCCAGCCAUGCCGCGUGUGUGAAGAAGGUCUUCGGAUGUAAGCACUUUAAGUUGGGAGGAGGGCAGUAAGUUAAUACUUGCUGUUUGACGUUACCAACAGAAUAAGCACCGGCUAACUUCGUGCCACG